UACAGAGGUCCCAAGCGUUGCUCGGAAUCACUGGGCGUAAAGCGCACGUAGGCGGAUUGCUAAGUCAGGGGUGAAAUCCUGGAGCUCAACUCCAGAACUGCCUUUGAUACUGGCGAUCUUGAGUCCGGGAGAGGUGAGUGGAACUGCGAGUGUAGAGGUGAAAUUCGUAGAUAUUCGCAAGAACACCAGUGGCGAAGGCGGCUCACUGGCCCGGUACUGACGCUGAGGUGCGAAAGCGUGGGGAGCAAACAGG
rnacentral:rRNA from 1 species